UACGAAGGGAGCUAGCGUUGUUCGGAAUCACUGGGCGUAAAGCGCUCGUAGGCGGAUGUGUCAGUCAGGGGUGAAAUCCCGGGGCUCAACCUCGGAACUGCCUUUGAUACAGCACGUCUUGAGUUCGAUAGAGGUGGGUGGAAUUCCUAGUGUAGAGGUGAAAUUCGUAGAGAUCAGGAAGAACAUCGGUGGCGAAGGCGCUCUGCUGGACCAUAACUGACGCUCAGGGACGAAAGCUAGGGGAGCGAAUGGG
rnacentral:rRNA from 1 species